rnacentral:rRNA from 1 species
CCUACGGGUGGCAGCAGUCGAGAAUCAUUCACAAUGGGGGAAACCCUGAUGGUGCGACGCCGCGUGGGGGAAUGAAGGUCUUCGGAUUGUAAACCCCUGUCAUGUGGGAGCAAAUUAAAAAGAUAGUACCACAAGAGGAAGAGACGGCUAACGCGGUGCCAGCAGCCGCGGUAAUACAGAGGUCUCAAGCGUUGUUCGGAAUCACUGGGCGUAAAGCGUGCGUAGGCUGUUUCGUAAGUCGUGUGUGAAAGGCGCGGGCUCAACCCGCGGACGGCACAUGAUACUGCGAGACUUGAGUAAAGGAGAGGGGAGCGGAAUUCUCGGUGUAGCGGUGAAAUGCGUAGAUAUCGGGAGGAACACUCGUGGCGAAGGCGGGUUCCUGGACAUUAACUGACGCUGAGGCACGAAGGCGAGGGGAGCGAAAGGGAUUAGAUACCCCAGUAGUC